rnacentral:sRNA from 1 species
UUUAUUUAGUAUAUAUAAAAAUUUGUAAAUUGUAUCUAUCUAUAAAAUAAUUUUAUUUUAUAGUUUACAAUUGUUAUUAAGUAACGUCCUGCCAAACCCGUCCCGCCAACUCGUCCCGUAAAAAAAUCUAUUUAUUUUAUUAAUGUGAAUCUUAUUUAUGAUAUGUUUAUAAAUUAUUGUCUAAAUUAU